GUCCACUGGACCUUCUACAUCCACAGAUGUGGAUAGAGAGAAUAGAGACUCUGCUGGAGGUCUUGGAGGCCAGGCCUCCAUUAGCCAACUCGGUCACGUGUCUCAGUCACUGGUAGGGAAGCGUGGGACGUGUAGGAACAGUGUGCCCGGGAAGCAGAGGAGAAACCACAGUAAUGAGCUUGCAUGCAGUCCGGCCUUCACUCUCUCCCCUUCACUCACUCGAUGAAUGUUCACUAACUGCCUGCUGUUUGCAGAGCGCUGUGUCUACAAAUGUGUCCCAUUCUAACAAGAGGGCAGAUUGGAAUUCACAAUUUCAUUGCGAUGAGGCAAGUGCCAGAGAAUGUACAAUGUACAAUAUUUCCAUCCUCAGGCUGUUUUGCUGGAACUGAGUGGCUGAACUACCCCAGCGAUUGUCUCUGGACAAGCAAACCUACUCCUACAUUCUCUCCUUGAAAGUGGAGUGGGACACAACCUCUGCCAGCGAUUUUAUUUUCUG
rnacentral:lncRNA from 1 species